CCUACGGGAGGCAGCAGUGAGGAAUAUUGGUCAAUGGGCGGAAGCCUGAACCAGCCAAGUAGCGUGCAGGAUGACGGCCCUACGGGUUGUAAACUGCUUUUAUACGGGAAUAACGCGCCUUACGUGUAGGGCUUUGCAUGUACCGUAUGAAUAAGGACCGGCUAAUUCCGUGCCAGCAGCCGCGGUAAUACGGAGGGUCCGGGCGUUAUCCGGAUUUAUUGGGUUUAAAGGGUGCGUAGGCCGCAUGUCAAGCUUGCUGUGAAAUGUCCGGGCUCAACCCGGGCCCUGCAGCGAGAACUGGCGGGCUUGAGAACGCGGAAGGCAGGCGGAAUUCGUCGUGUAGCGGUGAAAUGCUUAGAUAUGACGAAGAACCCCGAUUGCGAAGGCAGCUUGCGGAAGCGGAACUGACGCUGAGGCUCGAAAGCGCGGGUAGCGAACAGGAUUAGAUACCCGUGUAGUC
rnacentral:rRNA from 1 species